rnacentral:rRNA from 1 species
CCUACGGGUGGCAGCAGUUAAGAAUCUUGCGCAAUGGGGGAAACCCUGACGCAGCGACGCCGCGUGGACGAUGAAGGCCUUCGGGUUGUAAAGUCCGAUAAGCGGGGAAGAAUAAGCAACGGGUAAUAUUCGUUGUGAUGACGGUACCUGCCUAAAGCCCCGGCUAACUACGUGCCAGCAGCCGCGGUAAUACGUAUGGGGCUAGCGUUGUUCGGAAUUAUUGGGCGUAAAGGGGGUCUAGGCUGGGAGUGAAAUCCCUGGGCUCAACCCAGGAACUGCAUCUAAAACUGGUUCUCUUGAGUUCGGGAGAGGAGAGCGGAAUUCCCGGUGUAGCGGUGAAAUGCGUAGAUAUCGGGAAGAACACCAGUGGCGAAGGCGGCUCUCUGGCCUAGAACUGACGCUGAAGCGCGAAAGCGUGGGGAGCGAACGGGAUUAGAUACCCUGGUAGUC